GACUGCUCUGGUGGUCUAGUGGUUAGAGCUUCCGCCUCAGAUGCGAGAGGUCGCGGGUUCGAGCCCUGGCUUAGUCA